rnacentral:rRNA from 1 species
UAACCUGCCCAAGAGAUCGGGAUAACACCUGGAAACAGAUGCUAAUACCGGAUAACAACAGAUGAUGCCUAUCAACUGUUUAAAAGAUGGUUCUGCUAUCACUCUUGGAUGGACCUGCGGUGCAUUAGCUAGUUUGUAGGGUAACGGCCUACCAAGGCGAUGAUGCAUAGCCGAGUUGAGAGACUGAUCGGCCACAUUGGGACUGAGACACGGCCCAAACUCCUACGGGAGGCAGCAGAG